rnacentral:rRNA from 1 species
UACAGAGGUCUCAAGCGCUGUUCGGAAUCACUGGGCGUAAAGGGUGCGUAGGCGGCGGGGAAAGUCAGAUGUGAAAUCCGGAGGCUCAACCUCCGAAAUGCAUCCGAUACUCCCUCGCUAGAGAUUUGUAGAGGAGUCUGGAAUUCUCGGUGUAGCAGUGAAAUGCGUAGAUAUCGAGAAGAACGCUCGCAGCGAAGGCGAGACUCUGGGCAAAUUCUGACGCUGAUGCACGAAGGCUAGGGGAGCAAACGGG